rnacentral:lncRNA from 1 species
AUUUGGAAGGCUUGGAAAUUAUUCAUCGCGUUCGCGUAGCUCAGGGUCGCGUUCGCAUAGUGCUGGGAAGUAAAGCAUCGCGUUCGCGUAGCUCAAGGUCGCGUUCGCGUAGUAGGAAUUUCUGGAGCAUCGCGAUCGCGGGCAGUUAGUCGCGUUUGCGUUAGGGAAAAUUGGGGUCAGCAUAAUUUUAGUCAUCGCGAACGCAUGGGUCUUGGACCGCCUUCGCAUGAUCGCGGGCAGUUAGUCGCGUUCACGUAAGGGAAAAUUAGGGUCAGCAUAAUUUUUUCAUCGCGAACGCGUGGGUCUUGGACCGAGUUCGCGUAGGGUAAUUUGGCACCUGGGCAGAAUGGAUUUAAGACACUUUUCAUCUGCGAGCUAUCUCAUAUUUCCUCCAUUUUUGCACCACCUUGAGAGCUUGUUGACAGAUGUUGAAGGGGACGGGGAGUGAUUAGAGGUAAGUCUCAU